AGUUUACUUCUGGGUUCAGCUGCCUGCCAAGACGCCAGGUGACAAUCGGGGCUCUCCAAGGCCGCUCCUGCCAUUGUCUCCAGCUGUGGGGCCCAAGAAACCACACACGUGAGAUGCACAGUCUGAUAUGGCCGGCUCUGCCCCUCUGGGUUUUAUAUCUUUUCAAAGUGAUUCAUUGAAAGCUGUGGCUGUUGUCAGCUGGGUGCUGGGAGCACUGAACAAAUUCCCUGCCUAGGUUGUGUAGACAACGUGGGGAAUGGGAGACCCUUGGGAUCCUGAUGGUCUCGCCAGGCCUACUGAGACAAGUGUCCAGUGCCAUCGGACCUGUGCUCAUGCAGUUACUUACUACCAUGUGAAUCUGACCAUCAAAAUUCUUCCUACAUUUCAAUUCCCCCAACUCUAAAAUGAGGAGGUUGGGCUUGAUACCAUCUCAGAACUCUUCCAGCUAUAAACUGCAAACCAAUCAGGAAAUGGAGAUUGCUUACCACAACCAUUAGACUGCUGCUGACAACAAGGGAGAUGCAGCCACUGAAAUCUAAUUCUGGAGAGCUAAAGGGACUCUUGUCGGAAGAGGGAAGUGGUAGCUGUGCCCCGUGGAAAUAGCUCAAACUGAAAGUCAAGGAAGAUCCUAAUUAAUUUAACAAUAAUUUGUUGAGGUCCCACCAUGAGCCAGACCUGGUUCUUGGUGCUUGGGAUAGCAGGGAAACACAUGAAGGCAAAGAUGCUUGCAACGGUGGAACCUACGUUGUAACUGGGGAGUCAGACUAAACAGCAAGCCACAGCACAACAUGUCAGAAGACAGUGUGCUAUGGAAAAAAUAAAAGUAAAG
rnacentral:lncRNA from 1 species